CCUCCAUUUCUUGGCACACCUGUAGUUGCUCAGUACUCAUGUGUGAUUGUACGGAGGUAGAACAAAGCCAGUGCUAUGUCUUCGGUACCAGUGUGUGUUUAUAGUCUGCUGGUCCUAUCCUCAAUCGCUGGCACACUU